rnacentral:rRNA from 1 species
CCUACGUGGGGCAGCAGUGGGGAAUAUUGCGCAAUGGGCGAAAGCCUGACGCAGCGACGCCGCGUGAGGGAUGAAGGUCUUCGGAUCGUAAACCUCUGUCAGCAGGGAAGAACGGUCACUGUGCUAAUCAGCAGUGAAUUGACGGUACCUGCAAAGGAAGCACCGGCUAACUCCGUGCCAGCAGCCGCGGUAAUACGGAGGGUGCGAGCGUUAAUCGGAAUUACUGGGCGUAAAGCGCUCGUAGGCGGUAUGUCAAGUCAAGGGUGAAAUCCCCGCGCUUAACGUGGGAACUGCCUUUGAAACUGGCAAACUGGAGUGUGUGAGAGGAUAGUGGAAGUCCAGGUGUAGGAGUGAAAUCCGUAGAGAUCUGGAGGAACAUCAGUGGCGAAGGCGACUAUCUGGCACAUAACUGACGCUGAGGAGCGAAAGCGUGGGUAGCAAACAGGAUUAGAUACCCGAGUAGUC